CGCGUAGGCGGUCGAGUAAGUCGGACGUGAAAGCCCCUGGCUCAACUGGGGGAGGCCGUUCGAUACUGCUCGGCUUGAGGGUGAGAGGGGGAAGCGGAAUUCCCGGUGUAGCGGUGGAAUGCGUAGAGAUCGGGAGGAACAUCAAUGGCGAAGGCGGCUUCCUGGCUCACUCCUGACGCUGAUAGCGCGAAAGCGUGGGGAGCAAACGGGAUUAGAUACCCCGGUAGUCCACGCCCUAAACGAUGAGAGCUAGGUGUUGGUGGGAUUUCCCAUCCGUGCCGAAGCAAACGCGUUAAGCUCUCCGCCUGGGGACUACGAACGCAAGUUUAAA
rnacentral:rRNA from 1 species